CGGCUUAGAGUUUGAUCCUGGCUCAGAAUAANCGCUGGCGGCGUGCCUAACACAUGCAAGUCGAACGAGAAAGUCCUUCGGGAUUAGUACAGUGGCGAACGGGUGAGUAAUACGUGAGAAUCUGCCUUUUGGUGAAGGAUACCUUCGAGAAAUCGGAGUUAAUACUGCAUAAGUCUCUUGCGAGGGAAAGACGGCCUAAAAGCUGUCGCCGAAAGAUGAGCUCGCGGCCUAUUAGUUAGUUGGUGGGGUAAAGGCCUACCAAGACGAAGAUGGGUAGCCGGCCUGAGAGGGUGUACGGCCACAUUGGGACUGAGAUACGGCCCAGACUCCUACGGGAGGCAGCAGUGGGGAAUAUUGCGCAAUGGACGAAAGUCUGACGCAGCGACGCCGCGUGAGGGAUGAAGGUCUUCGGAUUGUAAACAUCUGUUAAGUGGGAAGAAAUACGCAGGAGUAAUAGGUCU
rnacentral:rRNA from 1 species